rnacentral:rRNA from 1 species
GAUGAACGCUGGCGGCGUGCCUAAUACAUGCAAGUCGAGCGAACAGACGAGGAGCUUGCUCCUCUGACGUUAGCGGCGGACGGGUGAGUAACACGUGGAUAACCUACCUAUAAGACUGGGAUAACUUCGGGAAACCGGAGCUAAUACCGGAUAAUAUAUUGAACCGCAUGGUUCAAUAGUGAAAGACGGUUUUGCUGUCACUUAUAGAUGGAUCCGCGCCGCAUUAGCUAGUUGGUAAGGUAACGGCUUACCAAGGCAACGAUGCGUAGCCGACCUGAGAGGGUGAUCGGCCACACUGGAACUGAGACACGGUCCAGACUCCUACGGGAGGCAGCAGUAGGGAAUCUUCCGCAAUGGGCGAAAGCUUGACGGAGCAACGCCGCGUGAGUGAUGAAGGUCUUCGGAUCGUAAAACUCUGUUAUUAGGGAAGAACAAAUGUGUAAGUAACUAUGCACGUCUUGACGGUACCUAAUCGGAAAGCCACGGCUAACUACGUG